rnacentral:rRNA from 1 species
GAGCUCGUAGGCGGUUUGUCGCGUCUGCUGUGAAAACCCGAGGCUCAACCUCGGGCCUGCAGUGGGUACGGGCAAACUAGAGUGCGGUAGGGGAGAAUGGAAUUCCUGGUGUAGCGGUGGAAUGCGCAGAUAUCAGGAGGAACACCGAUGGCGAAGGCAGUUCUCUGGGCCGUAACUGACGCUGAGGAGCGAAAGCGUGGGGAGCGAACAGGAUUAGAUACCCUGGUAGUCCACGCCGUAAACGUUGGGCGCUAGAUGUGGGGACCAUUCCACGGUUUCCGUGUCGCAGCUAACGCAUUAAGCGCCCCGCCUGGGGAGUACGGCCGCAAGGCUAAAACUCAA